rnacentral:ncRNA from 1 species
AUAAAAUUUUAUGAUUUAAAAAAUUUAAUUUAAAUUUAUUUUACAUAUAAAUUUUAGUAUGAAUUUAUAAUUAUUUUAAUAAUAAUAAUAAAUUAUUUAUAGUAAUUAACAUUAAAAAUUUAAGAAAUUAAGAUUUAGUAAUAUUAAAAUUAUUAACAAAUUUUGUGCCAGCAGUUGCGGUUAGACAAAAAAUAAUUUAAAUUUUAUCAGUAUAUAAUUAUUAAUAAAUAAUUUAAUUUAAAUAUUAAAUUAUUAGGUAAAAUUUUAAUUUAAUUAAAAUUUAUUUAAAAUUUAUGAUUUAUUAAAUUUUAUAAAAAACUAGGAUUAGAUACCCUAUUAUUAAAAAUUAAAUUUAUUAUACUAAAAUAGUAAAUAAUGAUUUAUUGAAACUUAAAUAAUUUGGCGGUAUUUUAGUACAUUUAGAGGAAUCUGUCUAAUAAUUGAUAAUCCACGAAUAAAUUUACUUAAUUUAUAAUUUUAUAUAUCGUUGUUAAAAAAAUAUUUUUUUAUAAAAAUAAUAUUUUAAAAUUUUUAUAUAAAAUUAACUCAGAUCAAGAUGUAGAUUAUAAUUAAGAAUAUGAUGGAUUACAAUAAUAAAAAUUAAAAUGAAUAAUAUUUUGUAAAUAAUAUUUGAAGGUGGAUUUAAAUGUAAUUUUAUUUAAUUUAAUAAAAUGAUUAUAUAUUAAAAUAUGUACAUAUUGCCCGUCGCUUUCAUUUAUAAAUUGAAAUAAGUCGUAACAUAGUAGAGGUACUGGAAAGUGUUUCUAGAAAGUU